rnacentral:snRNA from 1 species
AGCUUUGUGCAGUGGCAGAAUCGUAGCCAAUGAGGUUUAUCCGAGGCGCAAUUAUUGCUAAUUGAAACAUAUUUUAUCUACUUA